GACGAACGCUGGCGGCGUGCCUAACACAUGCAAGUCGAACGGGGUAUUUCUUCGGAGAUACUUAGUGGCGAACGGGUGAGUAACGCGUGAGAAACCUGCCUUUCAGUGGGGGACAACAGUUGGAAACGACUGCUAAUACCGCAUAAUGUCAUUUUGGGGCAUCCCCGGAUGACCAAAGAUAUAUUGAUGAAAGAGGGUCUCGCGUCUGAUUAGCUAGAUGGGGGGGUAACGGCCAACCAUGGCGACGAUCAGUAGCCGGUCUGAGAGGAUGAAAGGCCAGAAUGGGACGGUGAUACGGCCCAGACUCCUACGGGAGGCAGCAGUGAGGAAUAUUGGGCAAUGGGGGAAACCCUGACCCAGCAACGCAGCGUGAAGGAAGAAGGCCUUCGGGUUGUAAACUUCUUUUACCAGGGACAAACAAAUGACGGUACCUGGAGAAAAAGCAACGGGUAACUACGUGCCAGCCGCCGCCGUAAUAC
rnacentral:rRNA from 1 species